rnacentral:lncRNA from 1 species
UUCCCGGGAUUUUCCAGCCCUGAAGAAGCCGGUGGGGAAAACGAAAGAGGAGCUGGCCCUGGAGAAAAAACGGGAAUUGGAGAAACGGCUCCAGGACGUCAGCGGGCAGCUCAACUCCGCCAAGAAACCCCCCAAAAAAGCGAGCGAGAAGCCGGAAUCGGCGGCGGCGGCGGCGGCGUCGCGACUCAGCGCCUCCAGCUCCAGCUCGGACUCGAGCAGCUCCAGCUCCUCCUCCUCAUCCUCCGACACCAGCGACUCCGAGUCUGGAUAAUUCCCGGGAAAAACACGGAAUUCCCGGGAAAAAUACAGAAUUCCUGGGAAAAAAACCACAAAAUUCCCGGGAAAAAUAUGGAAUUCUUGGGAAAAACAAAAAAAUUCCUGGAAAAAAUAAAAACGAGAAGAAAUAAAAAAUCCUGGAAAAAUUUUGGGGAAAAAAAAAACCACCUGGAAAAAAACCCCGGGAAAUUCCUGGAAAAAAUUCCCAAAGGACAAAAAAA